GCUAAGAAUAUUCCGCAAUGGACGAAAGUCUGACGGAGCGACGCCGCGUGGAUGAUGAAGGCCGGAAGGUUGUAAAAUCCUUUUGGGAGCGAGGAAUAAGGAAUCUGAGAGAAACGGAUUCUGGUGACGGUAGCUUCUGAAUAAGCAACGGCUAAUUACGUGCCAGCAGCCGCGGUAACACGUAAGUUGCGAGCGUUGUUCGGAAUUAUUGGGCGUAAAGGGCAUGUAGGCGGUCUUGCAAGUCUGGUGUGAAAUUCCGUGGCUCAACCACGGAACUGCGUUGGAAACUGCAUGACUGGAGUCGCUGAGGGGCAGGCAGAAUUCCUGGUGUAGGGGUGAAAUCUGUAGAUAUCAGGAAGAAUACCAAUGGCGAAGGCAGCCUGCCAGCAGAUGACUGACGCUGAGGUGCGAAGGUGCGGGGAGCAAACAGG
rnacentral:rRNA from 1 species